AGUGAACGCUGGCGGUAGGCCUAACACAUGCAAGUCGAACGGCAGCACAAUAAGAGCUUGCUCUUACGGGUGGCGAGUGGCGGACGGGUGAGGAAUACAUCGGAAUCUACUUUUUCGUGGGGGAUAACGUAGGGAAACUUACGCUAAUACCGCAUACGACCUACGGGUGAAAGCAGGGGAUCUUCGGACCUUGCGCGAUUGAAUGAGCCGAUGUCGGAUUAGCUAGUUGGCGGGGUAAAGGCCCACCAAGGCGACGAUCCGUAGCUGGUCUGAGAGGAUGAUCAGCCACACUGGAACUGAGACACGGUCCAGACUCCUACGGGAGGCAGCAGUGGGGAAUAUUGGACAAUGGGCGCAAGCCUGAUCCAGCCAUACCGCGUGGGUGAAGACGGCCUUCGGGUUGUAAAGCCCUUUUGUUGGGAAAGAAAAGCAGCAGGUUAAUACCCCGCUGUUCUGACGGUACCCAAAGAAUAAACACCGGCUAACUUCGUG
rnacentral:rRNA from 1 species